rnacentral:rRNA from 1 species
GAUGAACGCUGGCGGCGUGCCUAAUACAUGCAAGUCGAGCGAACAGACGAGGAGCUCGCUCCUCUGACGUUAGCGGCGGACGGGUGAGUAACACGUGGAUAACCUACCUAUAUGACUGGGAUAACUUCGGGAAACCGGAGACAAUACCGGAUCAUAUAUUGAACCGCAUGGUUCAAUAGUGAAAGACGGUUUUGCUGUCUCUUAUAGACGGAUCCGUGCCGCAUUAGCUAGUUGGUAAGGUAACGGCUUACCAAGGCGACGAUGCGUAGCCGACCUGAGAGGGUGAUCGGCCACACUGGAACUGAGACACGGUCCAGACUCCUACGGGAGGCAGCAGUAGGGAAUCUUCCGCAAUGGGCGAAAGCCUGACGGAGCAACACCGCGUGAGUGAUGAAGGUCUUCGGAUCGUAAAACUCUGUUGUUAGGGAAGAACAAAUGUGUAAGUAACUAUGGACGUCUUGACGGUACCUAAUCAGAAAGCCACGGCUAACUACGUG